AUUUCUCUGGAUGAGAGAAAUAGAGAGAGACAGAGAUACCACAUCUCCAAAGCUUCUGCUGAGGCCAUGAGAACUGGAGCUUGAACUCAGGCUUCAUGCAGUCAGGAAUGUCUGGACCCAGGUGCACUCUACAGUUGUUUCAACCAAGAUUGCCUUCAGGAUGUCAAAGCGAAAGGCUCAUUAUGAGUUAUCUGCAUGGACACAGAAAACAAAAUAAUGGAUAUAUACCAAGAGUAAAUUUGAAGAUACUAGACUCUGGGACUUGAAGAAUAGUUCAUCUGGUAGAACACUUACUUUUCACUGGCUAUGGCCUAGGCUUUUAUUCCAUCUCUGUAUAGGAGUGCUCUGGUUCUGUUAGAUAUCUUAUUUUCUCUUCAUUUCUGUCUCUUCAUUUGAAUGAA